rnacentral:rRNA from 1 species
UACGUAGGGUGCGAGCGUUAAUCGGAAUUACUGGGCGUAAAGAGCGUGUAGGCGGCCAUGUAGGUCCGGUGUGAAAACUCGAGGCUUAACCUCGAGAUGUCAUCGGAAACCAUUUGGCUAGAGUCCGGAAGAGGAGAGUGGAAUUCCUGGUGUAGCGGUGAAAUGCGCAGAUAUCAGGAAGAACACCAAUGGCGAAAGCAGCUCUCUGGGACGGUACUGACGCUGAGACGCGAAAGCUAGGGGAGCAAACGGG